GGAGGAUUAGCUCAGCUGGGAGAGCGUCUGCCUUACAAGCAGAGGGUCACAGGUUCGAACCCUGUAUCCUCCAUCA
rnacentral:tRNA from 1 species